rnacentral:rRNA from 1 species
UGGAGCAUGUGGUUAAUUCGAAGCAACGCGAAGUAACCUUACAGGUCUUGACAUCCCGAUGCUAUUUCUAGAGAUAGAAAGUUACUUCGGUACAUCGGUGACAGGUGGGGCAUGGUUGUCGUCAGCUCGUGUCGUGAGAUGUUGGGUUAAGUCCCGCAACGAGCGCAACCCCUAUUGUUAGUUGCCAUCAUUCAGUUGGGCACUCUAGCGAGACUGCCGGUAAUAAACCGGAGGAAGGUGGGAUGACGUCAAAUCAUCAUGCCCCUUAUGACCUGGGCUACACACGUGCUACAAUGGUUGGUACAACGAGUUGCGAGUCGGUGACGGCGAGCUAAUCUCUUAAAGCCAAUCUCAGUUCGGAUUGUAGGCUGCAACUCGCCUACAUGAAGUCGGAAUCGCUAGUAAUCGCGGAUCAGCACGCCGCGGUGAAUACGUUCCCGGGCCUU